UUGUAACUGGCGGAGCGCGAUUAGGCCCUGCUCGAGGCGACUCUGAGCGGGCCUUGUCGGUGCCCUUCGCUUUGUCCCUUCACACACCCUGUGCACCUUUCUUUGCGGAGGGUUAGCGGUGGAUAACGCUGCGAGCCCCCGUGAUUACAAACUCUUAAAUCGUAACCUGUAUGUCGUUUCUAAUCGAAACAAUUGUAA
rnacentral:misc_RNA from 1 species